UACGAAUGGGGCAAGCGUUGUUCGGAAUCACUGGGCUUAAAGCGUGCGUAGGCGGAUCUGCAAGUCAGAAGUGAAAUCCCCGGGCUUAACCCGGGAACUGCUUUUGAAACUGCAAAUCUGGAAUCCGGGAGGGGUUAGGAGAAUUCCUAGUGUAGAGGUGAAAUUCGCAGAUAUUAGGAGGAAUACCAGUGGCGUAGGCGCCUAACUGGACCGGUAUUGACGCUGAGGUACGAAAGCGUGGGUAGCAAACAGG
rnacentral:rRNA from 1 species